GACAAGGUGCCGGAGUGGUUAACGGGAACGCCUAGAACUUGGUUCUACACCGACUGGUGAUAAGCGUUUGGUCUCUGACCGCACAGGUUCGAAUCCUGUUCUUGUCG
rnacentral:tRNA from 1 species